UUAUAGGGCAUUUUGUGUUCUUCAAAAGUGCCCAUAGUUACUUAGCUGUAAUUCCAGCUGUUUCACUUGUGUCCGUUGCGGAAGUCUCUUUUCUUAUGAAAUUGACCUUUAUUGGCUUCCAGAACGUAAACCAAUGAAAAGAAGUUGAGAGAUUUAAAGGCUGUAACUCACCUAGAGCUCCUAUCAUUAUUAAGUGGUGAACCAGUUAUACGUCAUCCCCGGAGCGAGAGCUUAAAAAGAGAUGAAGCGAUUACAAAUGCUUGGCUACUAUAUGAUAGCAACAUUUUAGAUAUUCCGAAUUUCCUAGCUUAUGCUAGUUAUUUUCUAACACCAACAUAUCUACAAGAACAUUUGAAUAAUAUGAACGGUAGAACAGACGACGAGGAAGAAAUUUUCGAAAUAGGAGGUAUCAUUCUUCGACCAAUGGAGGAGUACUUUAGGAUGGAAGUGUUCCAAGAAUUAAACUUAAUUAUUGAAAAUGAAUAAAUUAUACUUUUUAUUUCAUAGCAAUGUAUAAAAAAAUAAAUCAAUUAUUUUCCUUAAAAAAAUUGCGUGGUGUCGU